CUGUUUGUCAUAUAUUUGGUUUUAUUUCCCAGGGAUCAGUGAAUUUUAACUCUGGAGUCCUCUAUGCUAAGGAUGCUCAGCUUACAGAUGAUGAAAUGUUCAGUAAUGUAUUUGCUGCAGCUCUGCUUACCCAAGGUUUGGGUAGAACAAGCUUUGGGUUCCUUCUGUCUCACUGGGAGUUGCCCAAUUCAGUUGCAUCUGGUGAAAUUCACCCUGAGACCUUACAGAACCAGCUCCAACUACGUGAGAGCCAUUUGCAGUUCUCUCCAGACACCUGGAGAAUGGGCGACGUUUCUGAGGAUCCGGCGAGCGUGCUUCUGUCAAAACUCAGUCUGUGAAGUUUCUGGGGAAAACCCUUCUGUGUCCUGAAGGGUUCAAACUCUGGCGAGGAUCCAGUUAUCAGGUGCUCACCUGGAUGGUUCCAGCUGCCAAAGGUAACACUUGUACUCUUGCCCUGUAGUUUACAUCUAUUGUAUUUUUGUUAUUUUGCAGGAUUUUUUGUCUUUGCAAAAUAUUGUGCAUUUCACUCUUUGGAACCUCUCAGAUGGUUCUUUGGUGCAGCACCACCCCAUGGGACACUUGGCUGCUGUCCUGAAGGGUUUGGUCGCUAGAAUUGUGAAUCCUGGAGAGUUUGUGAGUCUUCUGUCCCCAGGGAGGUAUCAUGCUUGGUUUACUUUUGUUCUGUUGGUUAGGCGCUGCUUCUCGUUGCAAGUAUGAAUUUCAAACUGCCCUGUUCUUAUUUUAACUGUUUUCCUGGUUCUCUCCGUCCGGCAGGGAAAGACCCUCGUAUCCUUGUCGUCGGGCUCGGUGCUGCCCAAGAAGAUACAGAGACUAAAAAAAUCAUAAGAAGCAAAAUAUGACUGCAGGGAAAAGAAGCUGGAGAGAACAGAAGACUCAUCACGGCGGGACAGCGUGAGGACUAAAGUGUAAGAAGAUGUGGAGGGAAACAGAGAAUCUGACAGGAGCAUCGGACGGACGAGUGCACGAAUUUUGCUUUUUGCUUGGAUGUAAACUCAGGAGUUGAGAGGAAUUUGGGAGUGAGAAGGGACAUUUUAGAAGGAGAAGAAGAAAAAGAAGUUGUUGCUACAGUCCUGGCAAAAGAUUUUGUUCUAGCUAAUAAAAGAAGUUAGCUUAAAAAACAAAAAGGAAAAAAUGUAAUGGUUUUUUUUUUUUUUUCCUUCACUCUUAUAUUCAUUGGUGGUAUAUGGUGUGUUGUUUUAUUUCUUGGUAUUAUUAAGUCUGUGUAAAUUGUUUUUUGAGUGAAGCUGACUUUCUGGAUGGGUUGGUUUGUAUUUGAGGCAGGAUUAAUUUCAAUAGGGUUCUUUCAUAGA